CCGCCGCAGGGUUGCGGGCCGCUGGCGAUCGUGGACGUUUUCGGAACUUUGAGCAGAGGGAUUUACACUGAGAAACCUAGGCCAAGUUUCAAAGACUCUGGAAACCUGGAUCUCAUGGGACUUAGGGUUGCAUUUGCUUCCACUUCUUCCCCCCACCCCCGCACCCCAGUUAGUGUUCUGUAAGAAAAAAGUGCAAAAGAAAAAGGAAGGAAGGAAGAAAAGAAAGAAAGAGAAAGAAAAAGAAAGACCCUGAGAUAAGCGAGAUGGCUAUAUUUAUAGUCAGUCCUGAAGGGGUGUGCAGCUGUCACUAGGUUUACAUCCUCCGUCUUAACAUUGCCCACCCAAAACUGUGCCAGGUCUCAGCUAACUCCUGUCCGAGAACACUUCUCCCCAGUUGUGGCUAAUUCCUCCCUAAGUAAGAGUCAGGCUCUGAGAGAGAUGUGCCCUCGGGAGCAAUCACUUCCAAUGAGACCCGACAGUUAGUUAUUGGAUUACACGUGCAGGGAAAUGUAGUCCGACCAGGGAUAGGAGCUGGGAGAGGGAGGAGGAGAGCAGGAGGCCGGAGCUGGCGGGGCCUCCCAAGGGCUGAAGGGGGAGGCCCAGAAAGAAGGUGCUGCAGACCAGCGGACCAAACAGGAGGUAGAGCUGGGCACCCCGCUGCGUCUAGGCUGAAAGGACCGAGGUGCACGGGUGUGCCUGCUGGGGAGCCUGGGGAGUUGCAGGAGGCAGGAGAAAGGGAGGUUGUGC
rnacentral:lncRNA from 10 species